CAGGAUGAACGCUGGCGGCGUGCUUAACACAUGCAAGUCGAACGGAGUAUAUUUAAAAGCUUGCUUUGUAUAUACUUAGUGGCGGACGGGUGAGUAACGCGUGGGUAACCUGCCUUAUACCGGGGGACAACAGCUGGAAACGGCUGCUAAUACCGCAUAGGCGCACAGAUAGGCAUCUAUCAGUGUGAAAAACUCCGGUGGUAUAAGAUGGACCCGCGUCUGAUUAGCCAGUUGGCGGUGUAACGGACCACCAAAGCGACGAUCAGUAGCCGGCCUGAGAGGGCAAACGGCCACAUUGGGACUGAGACACGGCCCAAACUCCUACGGGAGGCAGCAGUGGGGAAUAUUGCACAAUGGAGGAAACUCUGAUGCAAGCGACGCCGCGUGAGUGAAGAAGUAUCUCGGUAUGUAAAGCUCUAUCAGCAGGAAAGAAAAUGACGGUACCUGACUAAGAAGCCCCGGCUAACUACGUGCCAGCCGCCGC
rnacentral:rRNA from 1 species